rnacentral:misc_RNA from 1 species
AACCCACUCAAGCUACUUUUGCUUGGUCUUGGUGGAGGAGCGGUGCCCUGGUGCGCGCUCCCCUCCGAAAUCCAAUGGCGGAUGGCCUCGCGGCUGCCACGGUGUGAUAAGUUAACCCUUUCGCCUGGUGCCCGAUGCGCUCCUGCCCUCAAACCCCCAAUCUUCUAU